GGGCUCAUAGCUCAGUUUGGCAGAGCCACCGGCUCAUAACCGGUAGGUCCCUGGUUCGAUUCCAGGUGAGCCCA
rnacentral:tRNA from 1 species